rnacentral:rRNA from 1 species
GGCCAGCCGCCGCGGUAAUACGUAGGGAGCGAGCGUUAAUCGGAAUUACUGGGCGUAAAGGGUGCGUAGGUGGUUUAUUAAGUUACCUGUGAAAUUCCCGGGCUUAACCUGGGGUGGUCAUGUAAAACUGAUAGACUAGAGUACAGGAGAGGGUAGUGGAAUUUCCGGUGUAGCGGUGAAAUGCGUAGAUAUCGGAAGGAACACCGGUGGCGAAGGCGGCUGCCUGGCCUGAUACUGACACUGAGGCACGAAAGCGUGGGUAGCAAACAGGAUUAGAUA